rnacentral:rRNA from 1 species
CCUGGUAGUCCACGCCCUAAACGAUGCACACUAGUUGUUGCGAUGCUAGUCAUUGCAGUAAUGCACUUAACAGAUUAAGUGUGCCGCCUGGGGAGUACGGUCGCAAGAUUAAAACUCAAAGGAAUAGACGGGGACCCGCACAAGCGGUGGAGCAUGUGGUUUAAUUCGAAGAUACACGAAGAACCUUACCUGGCCUUGAUAUCCUAAGAAUCCUGUAGAGAUACGGGAGUGCUAGUUUACUAGAACUUAGAGACAGGUGCUGCACGGCUGUCGUCAGCUCGUGUCGUGAGAUGUUGGGUUAAGUCCCGCAACGAGCGCAACCCUCGUGUUUAGUUGCUAACAGUUCGGCUGAGCACUCUAAACAGACUGCCUUCGCAAGGAGGAGGAAGGUGAGGACGACGUCAAGUCAUCAUGGCCCUUAUGGCCAGGGCUACACACGUGCUACAAUGGCUAGGACAAAGAGACGCGAUACCGCGAGGUGGAGCAAAUCUUAAAACCUAGUCUCAGUUCGGAUUGGAGUCUGCAACUCGACUCCAUGAAGCUGGAAUCGCUAGUAAUCGUAGAUCAGAUAUGCUACGGUGAAUACGUUCCCGGGUCUUGUACUCACCGCCCGUCACACCAUGGGAGUUGAAUUCACCCGAAGCCGGAAUACUAAACUAGUUACCGACCACGGUGGGUUCAGCGACUGGGGUGAAGUCGUAACAAGGUAACC